rnacentral:tRNA from 1 species
GCCGAGAUGGCGGAACCGGUAGACGCGCCGGUCUCAAAAACCGGUGGCCGCGAGGCCGUGAGGGUUCGAGUCCCUCUCUCGGCACCA